GAGGAUCCACAGUUCGUUGGUAGCACUACGGCAUUUGAUGACUGGAAAUCUGUCGUCGUGAAAUUGUCGAGAAAAGAACCGGAGCUGCUUAUAAUACUCAGCCAGGCAGUUCUUGAGAAGAUAGAGACCGAUGAGACCAUCAACUGUAAAACAAGUAAUACGAUCAUAUCUAACUUUACUCGUUUUACGUAUUCAAUCACCAAAUGAAUGAGGUAAUAGUUUACUUGAUAGAAAGAAUCUGUUAUUAUUUUGUUUGUCAGGUGACCAUCAAUCUCCUGUGAACACUGCAAAAACUCGUCGAUCCGAAUUGCUUUCGUAUUUAUUUGAAUGGCUCGUCGAAAAUCUGAAGACACUGCAGAAGUC
rnacentral:lncRNA from 1 species